GUGGCUUUUUGAUCCUUCGAUGUCGGCUCUUCCUACCGUCCGCAUGCAUCGGUGCGGAAGCGUCGGAUUGUUCACCCGUCUAAGGAUCGUGAGCUGGGUUUAGACCGUCGUGAGACAGGUUAGUUUUAUCCUACCGACCAUCUCCAUGCGUCCAGUACGUCGGGUCAGUACGAGAGGAACACCCGUCGCGAGCCUCGAUCUCCCGGUUGUUUGACUUGACAGUGCCGGUCUGUCGCGCUCGGGGGACUAGCACUGAACGCCUCUAAGUGUCCAUCCCACCUACUCGCAUGGGUUGAGGGGCUUCCCCUCGAUUCGCCCGGGUUGACGACCCUUUUCUCCGACCUACUGUACGGCGUGGAGCUUCUUGCGACCGCCUGAGGUUUGGUUCGGGUUGGCAUUCCCCCCGAG
rnacentral:rRNA from 1 species